rnacentral:tRNA from 1 species
GCCGAAAUAGCUCAGCUGGUAGAGCAACGCAUUCGUAAUGCGUAGGUCGGGGGUUCGAGUCCCCCUUUCGGCUCA